AAACCAACAGGGAUUGCCUUAGUAGCGGCGAGUGAACCGGCAAAAGCUCAAAUUUGAAAUCUGCCAGCAAUGGCCGAGUUGUAAUUUGUAGAUGGUAACUCUGUAAGAAGUCUUUGCUCAAGUUUCCUGGAACGGAACGCCAAGGAGGGUGACAGCCCCGUGAGGCAUUGACGUACUUGCGUGUAGAGUGCUAUCGAAGAGUCGAGUUGUUUGGGAAUGCAGCUCAAAGUGGGUGGUAAGUUCCAUCUAAAGCUAAAUAUUGGCGAGAGACCGAUAGCGAACAAGUACUGUGAAGGAAAGAUGAAAAGCACUUUGAAAAGAGAGUGAAAUAGUACGUGAAAUUGUUAAUAUGGAAGGAUAUAAAACUAGACACGGAGUUUUGAGUUCUGCAGUCCCUCGGGAUUGUUUUGUCUCUUAGUUCCACACCAGCAUCAGUUUUGGCAGGAGGAUAAACAAUACGGAAUGUAGCUGUUCGCAGUGUUAUAGACGUGUUGCAUACUCUUAGCCGGGACUGAGGUCAGCCUUUGUAGGAUGCUGGGGUAAUGGUUUUAUAUCAC
rnacentral:rRNA from 1 species